rnacentral:lncRNA from 1 species
CGGCCGCGGGCGACUCCUGGUACCCCCGAGGCCCCGCGAACUCACCUUCACAAAGCUGUCGGCGUCCGGGAAGCCUGGCAGCACCAUCUCUCCGUCGGAUUUGGUUGCGCUGGUCGCCGACAGGACCCUGGGCUCCCGGGUACUGGGUGGCGCCAUUUUUUCAGCCUGCACGGCUCGUCUCGCGAGAGCUUGUCGGCCGAGGAGACGGGACGCGUGCGCACCACGCAUGCGCCAGGAGGGUGGGGCACCUGCGAUUAGGUUGGGAAGCCUGCGAUUAGGUUGGGAAGCCUGCGAUUAGGGUGGCACUUUCGAGCGCUCUGGUAAGCUCCUGAAGAAAGCGUCUAGCUCCAACUGUGCUUCCUCCCUCCAGUACCCUCUGAACUCCUCCAAGCAGACGUUGUUUCCUGCAGACAUCGCUGGAACCAUUCUGGUUAACACAGAGUGGGAACUCAGUACACAUUUGUGAAGUGAACUCCUGGAAGAGCUCUUGUGAGGGAGGCACCGAAUUAUCAGGCAGCUCAAGAGAUAGAUUCACUCUCCUGAAAUUAGAGAUGGGAUGCCCUUAAUACAAUUCAUUCCACCCAUUAAGUCUUCAAUAAAUGUUCAGCAUAUCCAGUUAAG